GUGUGUUAUUGUACCCGGAUUAGCUAAUUGGAGAAUAUACAGAUAGGUCGGCAAAAACCUGUAAUUUGCUAUCUCAUCCCCCCUUACAUUUUCCACUGCAACCUCUUUUGCUCUCCAAGCGGUAGAAUAUGAAAUCCGCACAUUCAGAUCAUUUAGGAGCAGCUGUGGUAAAUCGACAGCUCGCAGCCCACCCUGCGUAGAACUGUAUCUGCUCCUCACAACUUCUCCGAGGAGCUUAUAAUUAGCAUGUUUAUUGUAGUUCUUCCGAGAGUCGAUGUUACACGUAUGUGUCGUAGCAUACGAAGUGAUUUUGAAACUUUAUGAAUCCUUCACGACGCGAGCAGUCAAAUGCCAUGGACAAGUCUCAUCAACGCACACCAUCUUCAAUAUUUUAGGACAUGACUUAGGUUGCUUGAACCAAAAGCAUUGCUUUAUCGCUUGAAGAGACAUUGUUUGUUGCAGGACUUUUCUAUUCUUAAAAACACUUCCAACAAACAAAGUUUUGUCUGUGGUGCUGAUUUCAACCUGUGUCUCAUCAGCUCGAAAAUUGAGUAAGUCAUCGAACACAGGAGCAGCAUCGUUACCGAGAAUCGCCAACUCGCCACCAUGUAACUUAGGAAAUUCAUUAUACACUUGGUAAGCCUCGGCUGCGGUAACUACCCCAUUAUCAUUCAGUGUCCCAGUUGAGGAAGCUCCAAUACCGUCGAUCACUUCAUCCCCGGUGACUUCGUCUAUACAAAUAAGAUUGGAAUCCCUUUGCCCUUCGCAGCGUGUACCGUAACCCAAUGGAGAAAUUGUUUCUCCGUCAGGUAUACUAAGACCAGUGUACGUACACGUUUCCAAGAGACGACUGAAUUCCCCUGUAUCUCCGCCAGGUACACUAACACCCGUGUACGUACACGUUUCCAAUAAACAACUGAAUUCCCCUGGAUGUUGAGCAGUCUGUUGAGUGAGACUGACGUCUUCCUCAAGAUUUCCUUGUACAUAUUCUUCUACUAUUACAUCGUUCCACUUGUUGUAAUCGUAUUCUUCGCCAAUACCUUCACUACCGUCUGUGGUAGGAUACAGGGUACUUCCCCCAAUAGAUCCAUCCACACCAAGAUAAUCAUCACACCCAUCAUCAUCUUCGUUGCCAUCCUCCACUUCAUCCUCUUCUGUUGUAUCGUCUUCAACAUCGGCUUGCUCCUCUGCAUCCUCAUUAUUUUCAUCAACAUUUGUAGCACUAUCAAACACACGGUCACUUUCAGAAACUUCACCAUGAGACCUAGAGACAGUAUUCCCGAACGCCUUCACGGUAUUAUUGAAAGAGACGAACAAGUUGAGAGAAAGAUACCUACCACGAACCAAAAAAAAACGUGUCGAGACCCAUCUGACUGUCAAUGUAUACAGGAGGGCGUUUAGUAUCUAUCAGCACUGACAUUUCUCCCGGCAUCCAGUAGCUAAUUAUGGGAUUGAUCUCGGUGGACUUCAAACUGAAAGCCUCUCGGAGUGUACGGACAAAGUCCGUGUACGUCAUGGUUUCCUGAACGCGUACACAACAACCAAACAUGCCUUCCUCAGGUUCACAUUUCCAUUCUCCUUCUUUGCAUUUCCACCCACCGACCAUAGUAAAUACGGGAAUAUCCAUAACCCACCUGCAUCAUAAAUUCAGGAGACACACAUUAAAUGCAACUGAAAAAUACUAUACAUAUAAAAAACAAAUGGAAUGUCGAUACUACACAUUUAUAAACCUAAAUACCAAUUAUCAUUUGACUAUUUUAAACAAACAAAUAUAGAUUUUUCAAAUUUUCUGAUAAAAACAUGGAGUUCGAACAAAAUCAAGAUCCUAAUAUGACAUAACAAAAAACUUCUUAAAAGAACUUCAUUACUUACACGAGCAAUGCUUGUUUUGGCUCCAAACUUGGUACAAAAACAAGAUCAACACUUCUUCAGCAGCAAUGUACGUUCUCAAUAAUUCUUUGUUCCUGGGUUCAUCUUCUUUAUCUCAACAAUUAUUAUCAAUAAUUUUUUUAAUAUUAUUUGAUGUAAUGAUGAUUUUGCAUUAAUUGUGACAAUAGUCACAUCUAAACUUUUUGGAGCAUUAAAUGUUGAUGUCACUUCGGAAUAAUGGAAAUAAUCUCACUUGUAACGGAACCGAAUCGCGUCAACGUGAAACAAAUAAUCUUCAACUGAACCGGAACAGUGUACGUAACUAAACAUGCUAAACUAAACCGUACAUUUCAACAGUUACUAAGAGAGAAGCGCAAGGGCAGAAGCGUCAUUUUGUAAGCAAAAAGACAAAUGGUGAAAACCACAUUUGACUUUGACAAUCCAUGGAAAUAAAACAUGAUCAACGGGUGUGAACCACAAUUUACCCUACUUUUAUCAACAUCAUUUUUACUUUUCAGUUAACUAAUACUUUUAUCAACAUCAUUUUUAAUCCUUAUAAACUCUGUUUAUACAAAUAGAGUAA
rnacentral:sRNA from 1 species